CAGGAAGAAGGAUACAGAGUAUGCAAUGUACUUCCAGAUGCUCGGCAGGAGUGGAAUGGCAAUCCCAAAGAUGAUGAUGGACAAGACCAGACACAAGCCGGAUGAAAGUGCCAGCCGACAGAAGGAUGCUGCCAAAAAUUCAAACUGUACUCUGGAAGGUCAGCGGAGUAGUCACAGAGGCCAGAGCAGCAAGACAGAGACGGACCAUGAACCAAAUCCCCUGAAAUGCAAAGGCAUGAAAAAGCUGCUUAGUUGUAGUGUGCUGCAGGCAUGCUGAUGGAGGAAGAAAAGGAGCACGCUGUGAAACAGGGUGACGACAGCAACCAGCCCAGAUGGGGACAGAGACUAAAUAACACCUAAGCAGCUGGCUGGUUGGAGGUUAGGCUUGGACAGAGGCACAAGGUCAAGAGACUUAGGCCCAGCUGCCCUGCUAAGACUGGAGGGAUGAAGCAGGGUGACCUCUGCAUUUUCAAAGUGAGCACAGAGCAAGACAGUGGCUGCAGUCCCCUCCCCCAAGGCCAGCUCUUGCUCAGUGUCACUAGCCUGGUGCUACCUGCUGGUGUCUGAAAGCCGGAACAACUGCCAGUUGGGGCUGAAUGGCCAAAGUUGGGCCUAAGGAGGUUUUGCAGGAGGAAUCAAAUUAUAAAUACUAGCUAUUUGCUAAAUUUUGCUUCGAAUUUGAGUUAAUGUUUUUCCUUAAUUUAAAAUGUAAAACAUUUCUUGUGUAUUACAAAUUCUUGAAUUGCAAUUACAGGUUUAACUUGCUUGUUUCCCUCUGCUUGCUGUUGGUUUAAGAACACUAAUUCAAGGGUACUGAAAGGUUGGCAAUCAGCCAAAUUUACCAAGCAACAAUCUGAGAAGAAAAAAAAGGGAGAAAAAAGACACUUUAAAAUCCACGCAGCUAAAAAAAAAAAAAAAAAUCCAAGCAGCUGCAGGUAAGUUUGUUGUAGAAAGCUUACAGUAAAUGAGAAAAAAGAUGUAUUAUUAAGAAGGGUAUAAGAGAUACACUUCUGAUAUGAGAGGAUUUUGCAUGACAAAGCUGGAAAGCUUAUGUAUAUUGAGGACAAGCUUGUGAAAAUAGUUCAUCUAAGAAAAUAUGUAUGGUUACUUGUUGGUUUGAUAAAACUUGGGUUGUUCCUUCUAAAAAUUCCCAUGAAGGGGACAGUCUGAUCAGCCUAAAACAGAAGUGCUUAAAAAGGUAACCUGCAUCACAAGAGAGUAGGUAGGGAAGUGUCAAAACGCACCCCAUUAAAAUGUAUGCUGGCUAACUUUA